CAAACACAGAAGUAGAGAGCAACAUGGCCUUUCAAGGAACACAGGGCUGUUUUGUGCUAUCAAAAUCUCCUGUAUCCCUCUAAGGAGAAACAGGAUUUCCUCCACGAUAUGCUCUUCUUAAGCGCUGCCCUUCAUUCUGGACCAUGAAAAUUAGCAGCAAAAACACUCCUGAUGAAAUGAACCAAGACCCAUCACAGCUGUCCUGUUCUUUGGCGAUUUUGAACACCAUGUUCUUUUAUUCAUUUUCUUUGAGAGCAUUGUGUGUUGCUGACUUUUCAAAAGUUCUUCAUUGACAUGCACCCCAACAUGAUGGCUGAUGAAACACACCAGAAUUGGAAAAUCUCUGUUCAAGUCAGUGGGCCAACAUUCAGAGAGCUGCCAUCCAACUGCAGUCCAAUUUUUCAUGCCUUCAUUAGUCAGCUGAAUGGGCCUGGGGAGGAAGAUUUGACCCUUUCACUGCAGGAAGAAUGCUAUAAUUACUAUGAAAGUAAAAAGAACUUGUCCUUUAGGUUACAUAACCCAUAUUCCUGCUGUCUUACGUAACUAUGGAGUAUUAAAUAAUACGUAAUUGAAUGAAAGUUGCAACACUGGGCUCGAAAAUUUGCUGAAAUAAUUAAUAUCACCAGUCAUUAUAUUGAUUUAUACACUCGGUAUUCUAGACAGAGCCAACCACUGUAGGUUAUUAUCCUUGUGAAUCAAUGUAUUCAACUGCUGUGCACAAACAAAGGGAAAAGUCAAAGAAUAUAAUUUGUAACAUUUGCAGCUGAA
rnacentral:lncRNA from 1 species